UACGAAGGGGGGCUAGCGUUGCUCGGAAUCACUGGGCGUAAAGGGUGCGUAGGCGGGUUUUUAAGUCAGGGGUGAAAUCCUGGAGCUCAACUCCAGAACUGCCUUUGAUACUGAAGAUCUCGAGUCCGGGGAGAGGUGAGUGGAACUGCGAGUGUAGAGGUGAAAUUCGUAGAUAUUCGCAAGAACACCAGUGGCGAAGGCGGCUCACUGGUCCGGUACUGACGCUGAUGUGCGAAAGCGUGGGGAGCAAACAGGG
rnacentral:rRNA from 1 species